rnacentral:lncRNA from 1 species
UUCUGCCCUAGGAGCGAAACCACCUAAACAAGCUAAGCGCUGUGAAUGCAACAACUACAACCUGACCAGUCAAGCAGAGGAGGAUGACGAUGAUGAGCCAAUUAGAUCAACAAGGAAACGGACUAAAAAAGGAAUUCCAGAGGGUUUUGUAAGAAAUGAAUUGACUGAUUCAGAUGAGGAGAGCAUCAGUGGUAGUGAUUUUCUAUAAUUAAUUUAUAAUUCCAGUUUCA